rnacentral:lncRNA from 1 species
GAACAAAGGAAAAUAUGCUGAAACUGUACAGUCACCGGUCAGGAUUAUUUCAGAAGUGAAAUUAUAAUACAAUUUAUUUUACUGGUUAAUAUCCUUUGAUUUGUAAUUUUAAACAACACACAGAGGCUUUGCAUUAUUGUUUUACAAGAGAGACACCAAAAGAUGCGGUCAACAUUUAUCAUUUUUAUCAAAAUAUGCCCAGGACAAACCAUGGAUACACUUAACUUGAAAUAUGGUGCUUUCAUACCAAAAUUGCCUGGAAGUAAAAGAAAUAAAGAACCAUUCAUGUCAGCAAUCAGGGAAUAAGAUGAAAGAAUGUAGAAUAAGGUACUGUAAUAUUCAGUCUUAAUAAGAGUCCUGCUUCUCUAUAUACAUAUGCAUUUUGUUAUGCCCCGUCGUAGCGGAGGGGUCAUUAAGUUUUAUCCUUGUAUGUCUGUACAUAAUAUUAGAUAUAAAAAGACAAACACUUAUAGUGCAUGAUUUUCUCACUGUGUUGAAGACCCAUUGGUGGACUUCGGUUGUUGUCUGCACUUUGGUCAGGUUGUUAAAAUAUUUCCCCCAAUUCCAUUCUCAAUUUUAUGAAGAAGUUAUUGAACUUUAUUCUUGAAAAAGAGACGGAGGUAUCAUGUUCACAUUGCGCAUCUGUUUAUUUGUUUUAGUUCACUAUAAACUUAAGUUUGCUUAACCAAAUGUACUGAAAUUUAAACACAAUGCUUAUUACCACAAAAAUCAGAUCAAGUACUCAUUUGGGUACUGUGUGUGACUAUUACCAUUCUUGAUUUAUGACCCUUUAAAAUGUUAUAUGCAAGCAGGGGCAUAAUCUGUGUCCCAUGGACCCAUUCAUCAUUUAUUUAUUCAGAAAACUCUAAAAGGAAUAAAUAAUUCAUAAUGUUCAUACAGAUAAAAGAUAUUGUUUUAAGGAUUUUAAUCUGUUUAUUAAGUCACAUGCAAACUCAAUAUUGCUCCCCUUUUAAAUUUCGAUUAGUGUUUGUAAAAAGAAAAAAAGUAACAUAAAAGAAUGCAGGUUGCCAGGAACAUUCAAUUGGAGAAAGGGAAAAGAACACAACUAUACGCUAAAUAAUUUUGAAAACUUAUUGGCUAUACUAUCUUUAUUUAUAAUAAUGUCAAAAAACAUUAUGUACAUUAUGAUCAUGUUGAUUGUGUGAAACGUCACACAAGGCAAUCAAAAUGGUCAGGGGGGGGGGGGAGAAGUUUUAUUAUAAAUGUCAAAUGGUUAUAGUCUCAACCUACCAACAUAAUCAAAAUUGUUGAUUUCACAGUUAAUAUUUACUUUUAGCAUGUUCAGCAGAAUAGAAUGUUUUUGUUAUAUUUUAUUAAAUGUUAAUUUACUUUGCUCUUAUAGGCAGGAGUGAAAGGAAGAGAAAGCUAGGCAUCAGUAAAGAAACAGAUCAAUUUAUAAUAUGUAAUAAUUCCAUCUGAAUAUAACAAAC